rnacentral:rRNA from 1 species
UAAUUUGAUGUAUGCUAUUAUCAUGCAGUCCUACGUCAGCACGGACCUUGCUCUGGUGGCGAGUGCCGAACGGUGGAGUAAUAUAUCGGAACGUACCCUACAGUGGAGGAUAACCACCCGAAAGUUACGCUACUACCGCAUACGAUCUACCGAUUACAUUGGGGGAUCUUAAGAACUCAUGCUCGUGCUACGACCGAUAUCUGAUUAUCUACUUGCCCUGGUAAAAUCCUACCAAGGCAUCUGUCACUAUGUGGGCUGAGAGGACGACCACCCACACUGGAACUGAGACCUUGUCCACACUCCUACCUUACGCCGCAUUGGCGAAUUUUGUACCAUGGGAGAGACCCUGAUCCACCACUGCCGCGUGAGUGAGCAAUGGCUUCGGGUUGUAAAGCUCUUUUGUCCGGGAAGAAACUGGUGACAGCUAAUAUCUUUUGCUAAUGACGGUUCCUGAAGAAUAACUCCCGGAUAACUACGUGAUUCCAGCCCGGGGUAAUACGUAGGGUGCAAGCGUUAAUCGCAAAUUACUGGUCGUCAUCCGCGCGCGCUUGGGUUUGUCCCUCUGAUGUCCUUUCCCCGGGCUCCUCCUGACAAUUGCAUUGGAGACUGCUACGCUACAAUCUGGCUGAGGGGGGUAGAAUUCCACGUGUAGCAGUGAAAUGCGUAUAUAUGUGGGGCGAACACCUAUGGCGAAUCUAGCCCCCUGUUGUCAAGAUUGACGCUCAUGCACGAAAGCGUGGGGAGCCAACAGGAUUAGAUAUCCUGAUAGUCGACGCUCUACACGACGUCUACUAUUUGUGGGGUCUUAGUUGAUUUGCCCACCGUAUCUCACAUGCGAAGUAUACAGUCUGGAGUGUACUUGUCGCGGUAUUGCAACUCGAUGGAAUAGACGAGGUACCAAACAGCUGCGCAUGAUGUGCAUCAGUCGAUGCGACGAGAACAAGCUUACCUACCCUUGACAUGCUGCAGUCCUUGAGAUAUCAGGAGCUGCUCCAACGAGACAGUCAUCAGCUGCUGACAUGACUGUUCGUCAGCUUCGUGUCUGAACAUGUUAGCUAACUACCGCACGACUGCAUCCUCGCAUAGUGCUACAUAGCUCUCUAUGUGACUGCAGUGACAUCGGUAGCCACCGGUGGGAGUACGUCAGUCUCUAUGGUCCUUAUGCUGUCUCCACUAAUCAUGCUCAUCAAUCUUGCCAACUGGUACAUACAGAGCGCCGCCAACCCGCGAGGGGGAGCUAAUCGCAGAAAGUGUAUCGUAGUCCGGAUUGUAGUCUGCAACUCGACUGCAUGAAGUUGGAAUCGCUAGUAAUCGCGGAUCAGCAUGUCGCGGUGAAUACGUUCCCGGGUCUUGUACACACCGCCCGUCACACCACCGAGCGCGCUCACCAGAAGUCUAAGAGUGGAUCCUGGGAGGGCGCGUCUAGAUAGAGCAUUUACACUUCAAGCGG